UACGUAGGUGGCAAGCGUUGUCCGGAAUUAUUGGGCGUAAAGCGCGCGCAGGCGGCCUUUUAAGUCUGAUGUGAAAGCCCACGGCUCAACCGUGGAAGGUCAUUGGAAACUGAAAGGCUUGAGUACAGAAGAGGAAAGCGGAAUUCCACGUGUAGCGGUGAAAUGCGUAGAGAUGUGGAGGAACACCAGUGGCGAAGGCAGCUCGCUGGAACGGUACUGACGCUGAGGCGCGAAAGCGUGGGGAGCAAACAGG
rnacentral:rRNA from 1 species